GCCCGGUUAGCGCAGUGGAUAAGCGACAGACUUGAUAAUACCUGAAAAAACAAUAUCUGUACACUUGGGUUCGAAUCCCAGUACCGGCA